rnacentral:rRNA from 1 species
GACGAACGCUGGCGGCGUGCUUAACACAUGCAAGUCGAACGGAAAGGCCCUGCUUUUGUGGGGUGCUCGAGUGGCGAACGGGUGAGUAACACGUGAGUAACCUGCCCUUGACUUUGGGAUAACUUCAGGAAACUGGGGCUAAUACCGGAUAGGAGCUCCUGCUGCAUGGUGGGGGUUGGAAAGUUUCGGCGGUUGGGGAUGGACUCGCGGCUUAUCAGCUUGUUGGUGGGGUAGUGGCUUACCAAGGCUUUGACGGGUAGCCGGCCUGAGAGGGUGACCGGCCACAUGGGGACUGAGAUACGGACCAGACUGCUACGGUAGGCAGCAGUGGGGAAUAUUGCACAAUGGGCGGAAGCCUGAUGCAGCAACGCCGCGUGCGGGAUGACGGCCUUCGGGUUGUAAACCGCUUUCGCCUGUGACGAAGCGUGAGUGACGGUAAUGGGUAAAGAAGCACCGGCCAACUACGUG